UCGUAUUUUAAUAUGCGAACCACGUGGGAGGAAACGAAAAGGCAAAAGGCGCAAUAAGUACAUUUUUUGAAAAUUGAUAACAAAAACUAUUUUCAUUCUAGAGUUAAGAGUUUUUGAUUACGGGAGCAAAAAUGCUAGAAAAUUAGAAAUUUUAGUCGCAAGUGAGAACAUUCAAGCUCAUUAAGUACUUGCAUUCGUGAACCAAAAUAGUAUACCUAAAUUAGUUCUCAGUGUUGAAACAUUCCAAUUUCCAACAUACCAUCAGAAUUUUGAACGCCCAAGAGUGAACUUAUAUUACGUAUAUCAUCACUACAUGUUUGAUAUCAAUGAAAUAAGGAGUCGUUUCUGGAACUAGCCGAAAUUAACAAUGAGCAACUUGAAUGUUUCAUCGAAUAUCCCUGCUUCACAUGCAGACAUCAUUCGAAUUGAAAACUGGUGUUUUACGAAAGGUGAAGAGUUUGAGUGUGAGUUUAUCUGGAUAAUUCACAGUUUCGAUUUGAACGUACCCAGGAUACGUCAAUGCAAUCUGGAAUCAUCUGAAUUUUCAGCUGCGAACGAUUCUUGCAAGUGGGUCUUGCGCCCUAGUAUCGGUAAGUAUAUGGAUGAUUAUGAAUGGCUAGACAUAAAAGUAUCUUCUAACAGUGACAGUCGGUUUGGAAGUGGAGGAAACGCGACUGUCUCAUUCAUGGAUUCAACAAAUGAGAAAUCGAAUACUAGUCAAGUGAACUUCUUUAUAACACGCGACUAUGAUUCAAUUUACUUCCAAAAGUUCAUUAAAUAUCAAAGUUUGAUUGCUGAGAAGGACAAAUUAUUGCCGAAUGGUGAGCUGAGAAUUUAUUGCAAACUUUCUUUCAAUCGAAAUAUGAUCAAUGUUUCGAAUCAUUCUGCGGGAUGUAUAUCAAAUCCUAUGCAUGACUUCGAAAAAUUGCUGAAUGAUGAAGAAACUUGCGAUCUUACCAUCAACAUUAAUGGGA